CAGUCGCCGCGGGAAUACGAAGGGGGCUAGCGUUGUUCGGAAUUACUGGGCGUAAAGCGCACGUAGGCGGACAUUUAAGUCAGGGGUGAAAUCCCAGGGCUCAACCCUGGAACUGCCUUUGAUACUGGGUGUCUUGAGUACGAGAGAGGUGAGUGGAAUUCCGAGUGUAGAGGUGAAAUCCGUAGAUAUUCGGAAGAACACCAGUGGCGAAGGCGGCUCACUGGCUCGUAACUGACGCUGAGGUGCGAAAGCGUGGGAGCAAACAGGAUUAGAUACCCGUGUAGUCCCUGUCUCUUAUACA
rnacentral:rRNA from 1 species